rnacentral:piRNA from 1 species
UAGGGAAUGCUGCCAUUUGAAGACAUACGU